CCUACGGGAGACAGCAGUGGGGCAUAUUGCACAAUGGGCGAAAGCCUGAUGCAGCAACGCCGCGUGAAGGAAGAAGGCUUUCGGGUUGUAAACUUCCUUUAAGGGGGAAGUGCAGAAGACGGUAUCCCUUGAAUAAGCCACGGCUAACUACGUGCCAGCAGCCGCGGUAAUACGGAGGUGGCAAGCGUUGUCCGGAUUUACUGGGUGUAAAGGGCGUGCAGCCGGGGAGACAAGUCAGAUGUGAAAUCCACGGGCUCAACCCGUGAACUGCAUUUGAAACUGGUUCCCUUGAGUGUCGGAGAGGUAGUCGGAAUUCGUUGUGUAGCGGUGAAAUGCGUAGAUAUAAGGAAGAACACCAGUGGCGAAGGCAGAUUACUAGACGGUAACUGACGGUGAGGCGCGAAAGCGUGGGGAGCAAACAGGAUUAGAUACCCUUGUAGUC
rnacentral:rRNA from 1 species